rnacentral:rRNA from 1 species
UUGAGCCUACGGGGGGCAGCAGUGGGGAAUAUUGGACAAUGGGGGGAACCCUGAUCCAGCGACGCCGCGUGAGUGAAGAAGUAAUUCGUUAUGUAAAGCUCUAUCAGCAGGGAAGAAAAUGACGGUACCUGAGUAAGAAGCCCCGGCUAACUACGUGCCAGCAGCCGCGGUAAUACGUAGGGGGCAAGCGUUAUCCGGAUUUAUUGGGUUUAAAGGGUGCGCAGGCGGAUUUUUAAGUCAGCGGUCAAAUCGUGGGGCUCAACCCCAUCCAGCCGUUGAAACUGGGGAUCUAGAGUGUGCGAGAG